AAACCGUGGUGUGGGCAACAUCUCAGCAAGUUCUUAUACCUCUUCCACGCAUCAUACAUGCUCUCAUCAUCAAACUGUACAAAAGAAGAAAUAUUGUUACGCAUCU
rfam:Ricinus communis cultivar Hale ctg_1100012362855, whole genome shotgun sequence.